UACCAGCACCCCGAGUGGUCGGGACGUUUAUUGGGCCUAAAGCAUCCGUAGCCGGUUCUACAAGUCUUCCGUUAAAUCCAACUGCUUAACAGGUGGGCUGCGGAAGAUACUAUAGAGCUAGGAGGCGGGAGAGGCAAGCGGGUACUCGAUGGGUAGGGGUAAAAUCCGUUGAUCCAUUGAAGACCACCAGUGGCGAAGGCGGCUUGCCAGAACGCGCUCGACGGUGAGGGAUGAAAGCUGGGGGAGCAAACCGG
rnacentral:rRNA from 1 species